rnacentral:rRNA from 1 species
GGGAAACUGCCUGAUGGAGGGGGAUAACUACUGGAAACGGCAGCUAAUACCGCAUAACGUCGCAAGACCAAAGAGGGGGACCUUCGGGCCUCUUGCCAUCAGAUGUGCCCAGAUGGGAUUAGCUAGUAGGUGGGGUAACGGCUCACCUAGGCGACGAUCCCUAGCUGGUCUGAGAGGAUGACCAGCCACACUGGAACUGAGACACGGUCCAGACUCCUACGGGAGGCAGCAGUGGGGAAUAUUGCACAAUGGGCGCAAGCCUGAUGCAGCCAUGCCGCGUGUAUGAAGAAGGCCUUCGGGUUGUAAAGUACUUUCAGCGGGGAGGAAGGUGCUGAGGUUAAUAACCUCAGCAAUUGACGUUACCCGCAGAAGAAGCACCGGCUAACUCCGUGCCAGCAGCCGCGGUAAUACGGAGGGUGCAAGCGUUAAUCGGAAUUACUGGGCGUAAAGCGCACGCAGGCGGUCUGUCAAGUCGGAUGUGAAAUCCCCGGGCUCAACCUGGGAACUGCAUUCGAAACUGGCAGGCUAGAGUCUUGUAGAGGGGGGUAGAAUUCCAGGU